AAUUUCAUACUACCAGUGUUCUGAAACUUUCCCAUGUAAAUUCUAACCUUCCUUGCUCGACUGGUUUUUAGAAAAUUGAGUAAGAUAUGCAGUUUUUUUCCCCUAGGUGAGAGCAGUGUCGAAGAGAGAUGAAACAUUUCUCUCCUAGAGGAUUCAAGGCUCUGUUUAGAGGAGGGCUUGCUCUAGUAAUUCUGUGUUGCCGUGGGCUUGCUCUAGUACUUCUCUAUUGCAAUGGGAACCCCUUCAGCCUGCCCAAAAAGUAGAUCAGAAACCAUCGCUUUGUGUGAUGGGUGAUGGCUUUGGGACCAAAUUGCUUGUUGCUGGGUUGCAAUUCCAAGAGCAAACUCUCUUGGUUACAGAUUUGGAGUGAUCUUAUUACCCUGACAUGGCUCAAAAAGCAAGCCCAGAUCUUGGGAGAUGCAGUGGGGCUCAGAAGAGAGAGAGGAGACCCUUGAGCAGUGCCCUGGAGAGCAAGCGCUGCAAAUGAGAUCUUUCCAAACCUCCUGGGAGGUCUUUAAGUUUUUCACUUUUGCUGUUGGCCAGUAUGUGUUUUCAGAUUGUGUUUGCCUCAUCUGGUCAUGGCAUUACGUAUCCAUGUUUGAGCUGGGAGAUAUUUUGAGAGAGAUGUCCUACAGCAUAAACCGAAAAGCAUCUGGAUAGGAGCACUAGCAUUAUUGUAAUGACCUUCAUUUGAUCCUUUGAUUGUAGUCCUGCUGUCCGAAAUGCGAGUCCCUUACCCGGUGUGCAACGAGCCGACCUCUACAUCACUGGGAGACAUUGUUUAUUCUGAGUUUAUGCAGAUUCUGGACACCUGGGUGGGAUGGACCCUCCAAACAUGAGUGUAAAGCCCCGACGGAGACCCCACCAUUUUAUACACUACAGAUGGAUAAAUAUUCCUAGAAUUCCCAGAAAGGUCAUGCAUAUCAGUACAUUUUCUGAGAAUGAAUUCUACUCUCUUGAUGUUUACUGCACGUACACCCCAAAGUCCUAAAGUCCUAAAGACUUUUGCCGAUCUAUAGUGGCUAUUUCACAGUCCUUCACUGAUGAAAUUUUUGUAGCUUUCUCUCUGGGUCUUCCUACUCAGUUAUUAAAAUUCAGUCAUUAGUCCUUGCUUUUCUCAGUUAUCACACCUUCACUUGGCUCAGCCCAUUUACAAGGAUGUUUCUGAUUUUCAGUUCACGUUAUGGUGCCAAUUCAUGGUUGGUUUUGCUAACAAGACAGUAGAAUUUAUCAGGUGUUUCCUUAGCUCACUGAUAACUGACCCAUCUGUGAUCUGACUUUAGCUCCUGGUAAAAGCCUUUUGACUUUAGAACCCUUUUGCACUUCUAACAUUUCAAGAUUUUAUGAUUUCUUUCAACAGUACCUGUUCAGAAACCAAAUCUGUAAAUGAAGAUGGCCGUGAACAACCCUUGGCUGAAGAACAUAGAAACGAGGACAGUGCAGAACGCAACACUGGGCCUCACAGUAGCCAACUGCCAGGUCAUAGCGGGACGAGUACUGGCAAAAGGGAAUUGCAGGGAAGGCAGACAUGUUGCAGUGAAAAUAGCAAAGAAUUUUGAUUGGUCCUCCGAUGCGGCUUGUGAGGAAAUACAGGUGCUGGAAGAUUUAGAAGCAUCAGACCCCAGCAAUGCCUAUCACUGUGUCCAGAUGUUGGGAUGGUUUGAGCACCGUGGACACGUCUGCAUUGUUUUUGAGCUCCUGGGGCUCAGCACCUUUGACUUUAUGAGCGUCAAUGACUUCUUGCCAUUUAACCUGGACGACAUUAGACACAUGGCUUAUCAGAUCUGCACCUCUGUCAACUUUUUGCACAUGAAGAAGUUGACACAUACAGAUCUGAAGCCAGACAAUAUUGUCUUUGUGAAAUCUGACUACGUAGAAGAGUACAACCCCAAACUGGUAAGUUGCCAUCCUCUUCCCCACUCUCCUCCACCUCAGUCAUCCUCUGCGUUCAUCUGGUCACUUGCAUCCCACCACCUUUCAUUUCAGGAAUGCACUGAAUGCAGACUGAGAAAACCAGACAUCAGACUUGUGGACUUUGGGUGCGCCACUUACGAUCAUGAUUACCAUAACCCUGUGGUGACUACUAGACCUUACAGAGCUCCCGAGGUGGUCCUAGGUCAGUGGAAGGCUGUUUGUUUGACUGAUCUUUCAAGUAUGAGUUUUUGUGUGCUAUUGAAUGGAGCUAGAGAAGUUCUUGGUGUCUUGCUUGAGCUGUUGAACUGUUUGCCGUCUGCUCUAAACAUGAACAACCUGAAUCUUUUCACAGAGCUCGGAUGGUCCCAUCCAUGCGAUGUGUGGAGCAUAGGAUGUACUCUCCUGGAAUACUACCUUGGAGACUUAGUAUUUGAGGUAGGCAACUCUAUCCCUCAAAAGCAUGCAGCAUGCCCAGCACUCCCCAACUUGAUGAACAUAAGCUACGGAGAGGUGGGGACUAAAGGCAAUGGUCUGUGCGAGAAAGUAAGCUGCAUUUCUCUGUGGUGCCAAGUUGAAGAGAACAGAAGAUGUAGGCCACAAGGAACGUUCUCAGCGGCAGAUUUUGACAAGUUACUUUCAGUAGACGUUUUGGCAGCGUCUUGAAAUGAAGGGUCGCCCUGUUAACUUUUGGAAUUUACAAGGCACCUUAACACCAGAUGUGGCUUCAUCUAUCACCAUCAGCAAAUACUACUCAAAGGAUUGAAUCCUGUCCUCUUGACAGUAUUGCUGAAACGGAACUUGAAGAAGAGAGGAAGAAAAAACACCAAGGCAAGAUCAAGGGGAAUGAAAUCCAGUAGCUUCUAACUUCUUUCAGGAAACAGAGAACCCGAGCCUCUCAUUUUUUUGUCGAUCAGUUUCAGGUUAUUGUUUGCAGGGUACAGUCAAAAAUGAAGUCAGGCUGGUGUGUGCUUCUUGAUAACUUCCUCUGAACAAGGAACGAAAAACGUCUCUCUUGACUUCCUUGCAGCCCGAUGAUGACAUAGUACACCUGGCAAUGAUGGAGCGAUUACUGGGGCCUUUGCCGGAUCAAAUGAUAAAGAGAGUUGUGUCUUCAAAGAAGAAGUAUUUCUGUAAUGGCCGUCUGGCCUGGGAUGAACGCAGUGCGUCUGGGCAAUAUGUCUCGGGGUGCUGUAAACCCCUGAAGGAAUACAUGACGUGCCACGAUUCUGACCACGAGAAUCUGUUUGAUCUGAUUGGGAAGAUGCUGGAGUAUGACCCAGCCACGCGCAUUACUCUGGAAGAAGCACUGGAACAUCCUUUCUUCCUCCCACUGAAGCAGGAAAAUAGCACAUAGCCUCCUAUAGCUGAUGCAAAUGAACUUCUCUGUCUGCCUGUUAAGAAACGGAAACUAUGUUAAGU